UCGAGAGAUGCUAGUGUUGGAGGGUUUCCGCCCUUCAGUGCUGCAGCUAACGCAUUAAGCAUUCCGCCUGGGGAGUACGGCCGCAAGGCUGAAACUCAAAGGAAUUGACGGGGGCCCGCACAAGCGGUGGAGCAUGUGGUUUAAUUCGAAGCUACGCGAAGAACCUUACCAGGUCUUGACAUACUAUGCAAAUCUAAGAGAUUAGACGUUCCCUUCGGGGACAUGGAUACAGGUGGUGCAUGGUUGUCGUCAGCUCGUGUCGUGAGAUGUUGGGUUAAGUCCCGCAACGAGCGCAACCCUUAUUAUCAGUUGCCAGCAUUAAGUUGGGCACUCUGGUGAGACUGCCGGUGACAAACCGGAGGAAGGUGGGGAUGACGUCAAAUCAUCAUGCCCCUUAUGACCUGGGCUACACACGUGCUACAAUGGAUGGUACAACGAGUUGCGAACUCGCGAGAGUAAGCUAAUCUCUUAAAGCCAUUCUCAGUUCGGAUUGUAGGCUGCAACUCGCCUACAUGAAGUCGGAAUCGCUAGUAAUCGCGGAUCAGCAUGCCGCGGUGAAUACGUUCCCGGGCCUUGUACACACCGCCCGUCACACCAUGAGAGUUUGUAACACCCAAAGUCGGUGGGGUAACCUUUUAGGAACCAGCCGCCUAAGGUGGGACAGAUGAUUAGGGUGAAGUCGUACAAGGGGUAACCGAAAAAGCAA
rnacentral:rRNA from 1 species